ACAAACUUGGUCAUUUAGAGGAAGUAAAAGUCGUAACAAGGUCUCCGUUGGUGAACCAGCGGAGGGAUCAUUACAGAGUUGCGAAACUCCCACACCCUCGCGAACCUACCCGUCCCGUUGCUUCGGCGGGCCGCCCCGGGGCCGCAGCGCAGCAGCGCAGUCCCUGAGCGCCCGCCGGAGGACCCAAACCCUGUGUCCUGCGGUGGCCUCUCUGAGUGAAUGUACCGAAUCAGUCAAAACUUUCAACAACGGAUCUCUUGGUUCUGGCAUCGAUGAAGAACGCAGC
rnacentral:misc_RNA from 1 species